rnacentral:lncRNA from 1 species
CUCUUCCUCUUGGUGAGUCUCAAACCAUACUCUUCCUCUGGACUGAGUCCAAACCAUACUCUUCUCCUGGUUGAGUCCCCAAACCAUACUCUUCCUCUGGCCGAGUCUCAAACCAAUACUCUUCCUGCCGCUGAGUCCCAAACCAUACUCUUCCUCUGGCUGCGUCCCCAAACCAUACUCUUCCUCUGGCUGAGUCCCCAAACCAUACUCUUCCUCUGGCUGAGUCCCAAACCAUACUCUUCCACUGUCUGCAUCAGAAGUUACACCCUAUUCCAUACAGAGGUCUUCAAAACGGACAAUUUGUUUACCAUUUUCAAAGAGGUUUCGACAGAAGAAGUGAGUGGUGUCUCCAGUCUCUCCUACUACACACAUUACAGCGCUGGAUCUGAUGUGUGUGCCAGCCUGUCUGAGUCACGGAGACGUUGUUGGGGGCAGAUAAAACGCUGCAUUCACAACGUGUCACUGCAACUGCCACAGUGAGCGAGGGAUUAGAAAAGAAAAGACAUAGAGGGGACUUGUCACAUAGUAGCACUCUGUGAGUGACAUCAAAAGAACGGAAGUAUCGGAUUGCGAGGUGUUGUCUGAGGUUUCCGAAGGAUAAUAACAACAACAACAACAACAAAAAUGCGUGGUCUGCGUAUUUCUUGAGAACUUAACUUUUCCCUUUGUCGACAGUUUUUAGUUUUUAGUAGUGAAAGAUCUUGUGAUCUAUGGCGCAGUUCAGUUCAAGGGUUCUCAAACUCUUUAUAGCCCACAAACCCCCAUUUUGAUAUCUGACCAUGUGAAUUGUUUUGUUGUUGUUGUAAUUAACAGCCAAUGUUUACUUUUAUAUUUGGGGCUGUGACAGCCAAUUAAAAAACAUUCUAACAGUACUUCUGAUUGUCUUCUCAACUCACCAUCACAUACUGGUAAUGUGGGGCUGUGACAGCCAAUUGAAAAUGAGUCUGACAUAAUGAGUACAUUUACAUGCACACUAAUAAUUCGAUAUUAAACUGAUUAUGGCUGAUGGUCGAGUACGGCAUUAGUCAUGGAAACACCUUACUCUGCUUAUCUUAAAUCGGUGUGAGGUCAUAAUGGAAAGUUAGCAAUCACCGUUUAAAACACCUGGUUUUUCUGAGAAAUCUGUUGAAUUCUAAAGGAAACAGCUUAAUGAGUAAACGGUUUCAUUGGAGUUCCAGCCAUGUAUAUGAUCUGCUCAUGUGUCCCGCAGCGUGUUACUCAAGCCUGCCUCUUAUGCGCGAGUGAAGUGAGUUCGGGAAAACUGAACGUGUGCUAUCUUCAGAAUAGUUUUCACUUUUCACAUUCAAACGUUAUAUGUCCAAACUUAGAAUCAAAAAGUAUUUGUAAAAACAUAUAUAUCGUGGCCACUGUGGUAGAAUGUGUAUUCUGCAUUUAUCAAAAGUCCUAUUAGUAGCCUGAUUUCAGAUGUAUAAACAGGAUUAUUCGGGACAUUUUUCUUCUUGCAAAAGCAUCUAACGUUUUUAACAAACUAUUACAUUAACCUGACUAUACACAACCAAUGUCU